rnacentral:rRNA from 1 species
CUACGGGGGGCAGCAGUGGGGAAUAUUGGACAAUGGGGGAAACCCUGAUCCAGCAAUGCCGCGUGUGUGAAGAAGGCCUGCGGGUUGUAAAGCACUUUCGGUUGGGAGGACUGCUUCUAGCACUAAUAUUGUUGGAAGUUGACGUUACCUUCAGAAGAAGCACCGGCUAACUCCGUGCCAGCAGCCGCGGUAAUACGGAGGGUGCACGCGUUAAUCGGAAUUACGGGGCGUAAAGCGCGCGUAGGCGGCUAGAUCAGUCGGGUGUGAAAGCCCCGGGCUUAACCUGGGAACUGCAUCCGAUACUGUCUAGCUUGAGUACAGGAGAGGAGAGUGGAAUUCCACAUGUAGCGGUGAAAUGCGUAGAUAUGUGGAGGAACACCAAUGGCGAAGGCAGCUCUCUGGCCUAAUACUGACGCUGAGGUGCGAAAGCGUGGGGAGCAAACAGGAUUAGAUACCCCGGUAGUC